rnacentral:lncRNA from 1 species
CCGCAGCCCCUGCCCCCCCAGCUCAGCAGGUGCCCCUCACUCCCGAGUCUCUGGCCCGCAGAGCGGCUGCUGCUGACGGUGGGCGAGGUCCCGGCGCUCUUCGUGCACGAGGGGAAGAAGAAGCUGGAGCGGAAACACGUGAACAUCAAGAACGGGGUGAAGGUGAGGGACCCCGGCGUCCGGGGUGGGUGGGAGCCGGAGCCCCCUGGAGGGGACAUUCCCCACCCCCCCGGAGCCAGGCAGGCCGGGGGAGCCGUGGGCCAGGCCGGGCCUGAGAGGGGGCGACUCCGGGGGGAUCUGGGGGCAGGGGGAGUCGAGGGGCCCCACGGUGAACCUCUCUCUCCCCCAGAAAUCAGCCUGCGAGGCGGACGCAAAGAAGGCCCCGAUUUACGCCAACGUGACGGACGUGAAGCAGGUGGUGACGCCCCGAUUCCUUUGCACCGGGGGAAUCGACCCCGUCGUGGACCCCAACACCUGCAAGGGCGACUCUGGGGGCCCCCUCAUCAUCGCCAAGGGCAAACGCUACAUCCAGGUGGGUGUGAUCAGCUGGGGCGUGUUCGAUGUCUGCAAGGCCCCCAGCCGCAGGGCCCCGGCACACGCCCGCGACUUCCACCUCAAUCUCUUCACCGUGCUGCCCUGGCUGCGGGACAAGCUGGCCGAGGAGGAGCUGGGCUUCAUCUGAGGGGGGCCAGGGGGACCCCAACCUGCCCCCAGCCCCCCCGCCACCCUGGAAAUAAAGGUUCAAUUCCCAGCCCUGCUGCACUGCGCGGCUGGGAGGCCCGUGAAGAGAGAG